UCUCCGUAGGUGAACCUGCGGAGGGAUCAUUACAGAGUUCAUGCCCUACCGGGUAGAUCUCCCACCCUAUGUUAAUAUUAGUUUGUUGCUUUGGCGGGCCGUUAGCCCGCGGCCCGACUACCGGCCCCGGCUGGUAAGCGCCCGUCAGAGGACCAAACACCCUGAAUAUUAUUGUCGUCUGAGUACUAUAUAAUAGUUAAAACUUUCAACAACGGAUCUCUUGGUUCUG
rnacentral:misc_RNA from 1 species